AUUGAACGCUGGCGGCAGGCUUAACACAUGCAAGUCGAGCGGGGUGAUGGUGCUUGCACUAUCACUUAGCGGCGGACGGGUGAGUAAUGCUUAGGAAUCUGCCUAUUAGUGGGGGACAACAUCUCGAAAGGGAUGCUAAUACCGCAUACGUCCUACGGGAGAAAGCAGGGGAUCACUUUUGACCUUGCGCUAAUAGAUGAGCCUAAGUCGGAUUAGCUAGUUGGUGGGGUAAAGGCCUACCAAGGCGACGAUCUGUAGCGGGUCUGAGAGGGGGAUCCGCCACACUGGGACUGAGACACGGCCCAGACUCCUACGGGAGGCAGCAGUGGGGAAUAUUGGACAAUGGGGGGAACCCUGAUCCAGCCAUGCCGCGUGUGUGAAGAAGGCCUUAUGGUUGUGAAGCACUUUAAGCGAGGAGGAGGCUCUUUUGGUUAAUACCCAAGAUGAGUGGACGUUACACGCAGAAUAAGCACCGGCUAACUCUGUGCCAGCAGCCGCCGUAA
rnacentral:rRNA from 1 species